AACGAACGCUGGCGGCGUGCUUAACACAUGCAAGUCGCGCGAGAAAGUGGGGGCAACUCCAUGAGUAAAGCGGCGCACGGGUGAGUAAUACGUAGGUAACCUACCCUUGAGACCGGGAUAACCUUCCGAAAGGAGGGCUAAUACUGGAUAAGACCACGGGGCUUAGGCUCUGCGGUCAAAGGUGGCCUCUGCACGCAAGCUACCACUCGAAGAUGGGCCUGCGCACCAUUAGCUAGUUGGCGAGGUAACGGCUCACCAAGGCGAAGAUGGUUAGCUGAUCUGAGAGGAUGAUCAGCCACACUGGGACUGAGACACGGCCCAGACUCCUACGGGAGGCAGCAGUGGGAAUCUUGGACAAUGGGCGCAAGCCUGAUCCAG
rnacentral:rRNA from 1 species